rfam:Myotis davidii contig111952, whole genome shotgun sequence.
GGCGGUUCUCGAGUGAUGCAUCCCCAAAUCAGGCUCCCUCCUCUCUGGUUCCAGGUGCCUCUCCUGAAAACCGCA